CCUACGGGAGGCAGCAGUGGGGAAUUUUGCGCAAUGGGCGAAAGCCUGACGCAGCAACGCCGCGUGUGUGAUGAAGGUCUUCGGAUUGUAAAGCACUUUCGACCGGGACGAAAACCCGUUGGCUAACAUCCAACGGCUUGACGGUACCGGGAGAAGAAGCACCGGCUAACUCUGUGCCAGCAGCCGCGGUAAUACAGAGGGUGCAAGCGUUGUUCGGAAUUAUUGGGCGUAAAGCGCGUGUAGGCGGCUUUGCAAGUCGGGUGUGAAAGCCCUCAGCUCAACUGAGGAAGUGCGCCCGAAACUGCAGAGCUUGAGUGCCGGAGAGGGUGGCGGAAUUCCCCAAGUAGAGGUGAAAUUCGUAGAUAUGGGGAGGAACACCGGUGGCGAAGGCGGCCACCUGGACGGUAACUGACGCUGAGACGCGAAAGCGUGGGGAGCAA
rnacentral:rRNA from 1 species